UAUAAAUCAAUAUGGUAUGAUAAAAAUAUUGGGCAUUACACUGUUUAGUCUUAAUUAUAACUUUGUUUUUAUCUUUGAGCUAUAGCAUCUAACUCAACAUGAAUUCUUCUUCAGCUAAUCACCUUCAAGUUCCUCAAAAACCAAGAUAUGGAAAAUCAAUCGCAACAAUGAAGACCACAAAAAGGUCGAAGGAACCAUAUGUAGAUCAUUCAGUACUUCCUAAGCUAUAUUACUUCCAAGAAUUGAGAUUUAGCAUAAGAGUUCUACUAUAUGUGCUUAAUAGCAUUCGUUUAUAUAACAUAAGUGCAUUAUCUAGUGAAACCAUCCAUAUUUAAUUAUUACAUACAUCAUACCUCUAAAAAAUACAUAUAUUAUCCAUAUUUUCAGUACAACACAUGCAUAUCCUAAAUUAUCAUUUUCUAGGAACUGGAUCUUCCCCACCUUAGUAGCCAAUCUUUUGCAUUCCAAAAAGCACAACAUAAAGAGAUUUUGGGGCACCUGAAAAAAGUAGGUAAACACCGAUGAAGAAAAAAAAUGAAAUUGAGUACAGUACAAAAGUAGAUAUUAGUGAAUAAUAAAGUAGAACGACGAACAUAGACUGAAUAAGUAUUGAUCGCUUCCUAAUAAAUUUAUGGAUGGUUAAUGGUAAGGUGACUGGAAAAGGCAACAUAAUAUAUGGCAAACAUUCCUUGUCAGGUUUCAUGAUGUCCAUGUCCUUAUUCAACCAAAUAGCUGGGAAUUAUUGCCAAAUGCUAUACAAAGGAAAAUAUAACACCAGCUUCCACGAAAGAGAUAAUAAGACAAUAGGUUGCACAAUAGUUUAUCAACAAUGGAGAUUUUAUCAAUAUACUUACUUCUUCGCUUUUAGUUGAUUUAACAUCUGAAAUGAUAACCUAAUCAAAGUUCACAAAAAUACAUUUAGUUUUCCAGUCAACAAUAGCGGGGUACAUUAGUAUCCACCCAACGUAUGAAAUUUUAACUUACAACUAUCUAUAUAAAAAGCAAGGGGUACUUAAUUAAAUAAUGCAUGAUAGCUUUGAUUAAUCAAGGAAUACUGAUACUAGAGCAUUGGUAAGCGCAACUACAAAUUGGCUACAGUUAUUCUAGGUGAGCCGUUCAGGAAUUCUGGACGAAACAGAUUUUAAUGGAGAAGCGGGGGAAAGAGGUAUGCAUGUGAUCAUAUUGGUAAUCGAGACAAACCAUGAGGGGAGUGACUUUGUGACCAAAUUUCUCCAAAAUGAGCUUUUCAAUUCAUGCUACAGCACAUAACUAUGAACGUUGGGGUAUCCAAAAUUUUAAACACUUAAUUUUAAAAAACAAUUGAGCAUUAACACAGCUUGCCUUGGUUUAAUCCGCGAAGAAUUGUUGAAUUUUUUUACAGAUUACACACAUAAGAUUAUCGAUAACAAAAUGAAAAAGAAUUAGAGAGGACAAUAGCAGUAUUGUAUCAAUUUAAACCAUUAUACAAUUGUUAGUAUUGUUGAUGACCCAUUCCUCUGCCAAAAUUCUAAACAAUGACUUUGGUCACCUUAGAUAUUUGUUAAAAGCAACACAAGAAAGCACCAUCAUAUAACUUCGCCAAUUGUUAUUAUUUUCUUUAGCCUUUUCUGUGGUAAGUGGUGAUAUAAUGGAUAUAUUUUACUCCUAUCUCUUAAUAUAAAUUUACAAUAAUUUCUGUUCCUUUUUCUUUUCACCUCUUUUUUCUUCAAAAUUCUAGCUCAUAAAUACUUUAAUGAACUAAAAAAAAUCUCUUUACAAAAAGGUCAAAAUAGCACACUUAUCAAAUUAACCUCCAAAAUUUUGAACUAAAAGUCGACACUUUAAACUAAGACAAACACAUUGUCUUUAGGAGAGUAACAUUUCUCAAAACAUCAACCUUGUAUGUGGUAAAACCGGGGGCCCAAUUUCUCCGUCAUUAGGUCGCCUCGCGGGCAUGCUUCUCGAGGCUCGAAGCCAAGGUCAAGACCCACCCUCGGGAGUCGUCGGGUACCGGCCUUGGGGGGCAUUGCGUGUUAACGGCUAUAGUACGGGAGAGGGGAGUUCCCAAGAUGAACGAUGGCACUAGCGGAGCCUGGUAUCGCGUCUGGCCGUCCCAUCUCCAUACCUUUGUAAUUAAUGCACUCUUGUACCAUGUUUGGAUAUCCCCUCCUAUAUAAGAGGGAUCUUUGGCACUUUGUAAACUCUGUUAUUCCAACUGUUCUACACAAGAUCAAUAACAACUCUCUCUCUUUUCUCUCUAACUUACUCGCUCGAGACUACCUCUUUUAUUUAUUGCCUUCAUACUUGUUCUUCAUUUAAUGCUUGAUAUUGGCCAUAAAGAGCCUCCUUUAAUUAUAUCCUAACUGUUAGCCCCUUCCUGAUUAUCCCCGAUAGCUCGAGUCCGAGCCCAAGCAUCGACCUCGAGACCCCUUAUCAGUUGGUCCAAGGCCCGGACAGCAAGCCCCUCGGUUCGAUCACAGCUCUAUUCUAGUUCGCGCUUUAUCUUUUAUCUUCAUAUAUCUAGCAUCAACUGCUUUAACAACGAGCAUAAAAAUAGAUCACGUAUUUUUAGAGUCCCAUCAGCAAAUUUAAUUGUUAUUACCAUUUUCACGAUAAACAGUUUGGCGCCCACCGUGGGGCUAAAAAUAAUAGUGAUUAUUUUCUUGCUGGUUUCGCUACACAACGAAAGUUAUCUUUCACACUUUUUCUUGUCCAAGAUCUUCGAUUUCAGGAUAAAAUAUCUGGCUCGGUGAACAGAAUGGGGAACAAGAACCUCGAAAACAGCAAAGAGAAGGACAUGACUACUCUAGAUGUCCGUACACCACUAAACUCAACCCGGGCGGAAGGGGAGAGGCUCUUCGACAUGACGUCCACAUGAUUAUUGGAGGAACCGAUGUUCCCCAAGGACCCAUGUUCAAUCGGAGGAGAACGUCGACCACGGAAGAGGGACCGACCCGAAAUCGCGUGCCCGAAGACACCCUCGCAUUCAGCGAGGAGGACCUCGAGGCCAUGAUAGAAUUGCACAACGACGCACUGGUGAUCUCGUUUCUUUUAACCAAUACCAGGAUAAAGUGCGUGCUCGUGGAUCUAGGCAGUUCGGCCAACAUAAUUAGAUCAGAGGUAGUAGAACAACUGGGGCUGCUCAAUCGAGUCGCCCCCAUCCCUCGAGUCCUCCAUGGCUUCAACAUGACCGGCGGAGUAAUGAAAGGAGAUAUAACUCUCUCGAUCGACACGUCCAGCAUGAUUCAGAACACCGAGUUUCAAGUCAUCGACGAUGACAUGAGGUACAAUGCAUUACUCGGUAAGCCUUGGAUACACAACAUGAGGGCAGUACAGUCAACCUUACACCAGGUGAUAAAUUUCCCACAAAGGAUGGCAUCACGACCAAACAUGGAGAACAACGGAUAGUGAAAGAAAUGUUCGCAGUCCAAUAUAAGGCGUCGAUCCCCACGUGCUAGAUCUCGGACGAGGUUAGGAACACACAGGCCCCCGAGGACGACGAGGAAGAUUUCUUCGCUCCUCGAACCUUCGUCGCCCCUGAAGAAUCGAACGCGACUAAAUCGACAGUCGAAGAGCUGGGGCAAACCAUUUUAAUCGAGCACCUCCCAGAUCGUAAGGUAUACCUGGGAACGGGGUUGACCCUCGAACACAGGACAAGGUUCAUUCAAUUUCUUAGUAACAAUAUCGACUGUUUCGCUUGGUCCCACUUAGAUAUGAUAGGAAUUCCACCAUAAAAAACCUCCCACAGGCUAAGCGUCGAUCCCAAAUUUAAACCCGUAAAGUAGAAGAGAAGACCACAAUCCGAGGUAAAACAUGCCUUCCUCAAAGAAGAGGUAACGAAACUUCUUAAAAUCGGAUCCAUUAGAGAGAUAAAGUACCCCGAAUGGCUAUCCAACGUAGUAGUAGUGCCUAAAAGGGAAACAAGCUAAGAAUGUGCAUAGAUUAUAAAGAUUUGAAUAAGGCGUGCCCCAAAGAUUCCUUCCCAUUGGCUAAUAUCAAUCGUCUGAUUGAUGAUAUGGCCGACCAUGGGACCCUCACCUUUCUUGAUGCCUACUCAGGGUAUAAUCAAAUCCAGAUGAACCCCGAGGCCAGGGAAAAAACUUCGUUAUCACGAAGUAUUGUGCCUACUGCUACAACGUAAUGUCCUUCGUGCUAAAAAACGCAGGGGCAACGUACCAGCGCCUAGUUAAUAAAAUGUUCGAGCAUCAAGUAGGUAAAUCAAUGGACGUAUAUAUUGAUGAUAUACUAGUUAAGUCCCUGCGCGUAGAUGGCCAUUUGAGCCAUUUGCAGGAAAAUUUUGAUAUCCUCAGAAGUUACAAUUGAAGCUCAACUCCGAGAAGUGCGCCUUCGGAGUGGGUUCGGGAAAAUUCCUGGGCUUCAUGGUUUCAAACAGGGGAAUCGAGAUCAAUCCCGACAAAAUAAAGGCUAUCGAAGAAAUCAUUGUGGUGAACAAUAUAAAAACCGUCCAACGGCUAACAGGGUGGAUAGCAGCCCUGAGCAGAUUCAUAUCAAGGUCAUCAAAAAAAAGCCAUCAUUUCUUCUAUUUACUCAAAAGAAAGAGCAACUUCGAAUGGACUUCAGAAUGCCAACACGCCCUAGAAGAGCUAAAAUGAUACCUAACUAGCCUACCUUUGCUGCACACGCCAAAGGAGGAUGAAACACUAUACCUGUACCCGGCCGUGUCUGAAAUAGCGGUAAGCGGUGUACUGGUUUGAGAGGAGCAAGGUACACAAUUUCCUAUUUAUUAUGUAAGCCAAACCCUGGGGGACGCCGAAACCCGAUAUACCCAUCUAGAAAAAUUGGCUCUUGCGCUGAUAAGCGCCUCGCGUAAGCUGAAGCCUAUUCUCAAUGUCACCGUAUCUACAUUCUGUCGACACACCUCUCUGGAGCAUAAUGCAUAAACCCGAGCUAUCGGGCCGAUUGGCCAAAUGGGCCAUCGAACUUGGAGGGUAUGAUAUCGAGUAUCAACCUCGAACGACCAUCAAGUCCCAAAUUUUGGCGAACUUCAUGGCCGAUUUCUCGCCAUCCCUUGUACCCGAGGUAGAAAGGGAACUUUUGUUAAAAUCAGGCAUGUCCUCCGGGGUAUGGACCCUAUUCAGAGACGGCGCCACAAACAUAAGAGGAUCCGGGCUCGGUAUAGUCCUAAAGCCACCAGUUGGCGGCGUAAUUAGACAAUCCAUAAAAACCACAAAAUUGACUAACAAUAAAGCCGAGUAAGAGGGUAUCAUUGCAGGUUUAUAAUUGGCCAAAAGCUUGGGAGCCGAGACCGUCGAGGCAAAAUGCGAUUCGCUCCUCGUAGUAAGCCAUGUGAAUGGGAUCUACGAAGCUCGAGAGGACAGGAUGCAGAGAUACUUGGACAAAAUCCAAAUCGCAUUACGGUGGUUCAAAGAAUGGACCUUAGUCCAUGUACCUCGAGAGCAAAAUAGCGAGGUCGAUGCCCUGGCAAAUCUAGGAUCUUCUGCUGAAGAAGAGGACCUACUUCCCAGAGUUGUUGUCCAAUUGUUUAAAUCAAUAGUCGAGGAAGGUCACGCAGAGAUAAAUUCCACCAGUCUAACAUGGGACUGGAGAAAUAAGUAUAUUGAUUAUUUAAAAGACGGGAAGUUGCCCGCAGAUCCAAAAGAAACGAGGGCCCUACGAACCAAAGCAGCCUGGUUCUCACUCGACGAAAAUGAGACUCUGUACAGGAGAACUUUCGAUUUCCCCCUGGCCAUAUGCUUAGGGCCAGGUGACAUAGAUUAUGUACUCCGAUAGAUCCACGAUGGUACCUACGGAAAUCAUUCUGGUGUCGACUCCUUGGUUCGGAAGGUGAUUAGAGCAGGCUACUAUUGGGACAACAUGGAAAAAGACACCAGAUAAUUCGUCCGAAAGUGCGACAAAUGCCAGAGAUUCUCUCUCAUGAUUCACAAACCCGACGAGCAACUACAUUCCAUUCUAUCACCAUGGCCAUUCAUGAAAUGGGGGAUGGACAUCGUCAGCCCUUUGCCGACAGCACCGUGUAAGGCUAAAUUCAUUUUAUUUAUGACGGACUACUUUUCAAAAUGGGUGGAAGCACAGACCUUCGAAAAAAGAGAGAAAAGAAAGUCAUCAAUUUCAUAUGGGAUCACAUCAUAUGCCGCUUCGGAAUCCCAUCCGACGUAAUGUGCGACAACGGGAGGCAGUUCAUCGGGGGCAAGGUAACACAGUUCCUUGAAGAUAACAAAAUCAAGAGAAUCCUAUCGACGCAUUACCAUCCAUGUGCAAACGGCCAGGCCGAAUCCAUGAAUAAAACCAUCAUUCAGAACUUAAAGAAGAAACUUGAGAGUACCAAGGGAAAAUGGAUAGAAACGCUGCCCGGGGUGCUAUGGGCAUAUCGAACUACUUCAAAAUCAAGCACCGAUCAAACACCUUUCUCUCUGGUAUACGGCGCCGAGGCUUUGAUACUAGUUGAAGUCGGGGAGCCGAGCGUUAGAUUUCAGCACACUAAUGAGGGCUCAAACAAUGAGGCCAUGACAACGGCCCUCGAACUACUCGAUGAAAAUCAAGAAGCCUCGCUAAUCCGAAUAGCCGCCCAGAAGUAGAAAAUUGAAAGAUACUAUAACAAGAGAACAAAUCUCCGGUAUUUUGAGAUCAAGGACUUAGUCCAAAGGAAGGUUACUCUCAACACCCGAAACCCUAAUGAAGGGAAGUUGGGCUAGAACUGGGAAGGACCAUACCGUGUCCUCGGAAUAGUCGGCAAGGAAUCCUACAAGCUUGGCACCUUGGAGGGCGAACAGCAUCCGAGCAACUAGAAUAUAUCGAUGCUAAAACGGUAUUACUGCUAGGGCACCCGAUCGGAAAAUUCCUCAAAAAUCCUCGAGCAAACGGUGCACUCUUUUCCUUCGACCGAGCUUUUGUCUAAAAGAGGGUUCCACUGGCAAAGUUUUUUCGAGGCAACGUCCACGCACUACCUAAGGAGGAUCCAACAAGCUUACAAUGCUUCUUUUGCAAUCAACCCCGAACACUGGAGGGCACCCCCAUUGAGAGGUCAUCCACUCAGAGGAACCAGGGAAUGACUAACUAAGUUCCAAUGGGAAACAAUGUACUGGGCCAAACGGUCAAAAGAGCCCUGUUCGCACAAGUCAUGCUCACCGCAACAAAACAGCAUGUACUUAUGCCAAACAAUCAAAGAAUAUCUUUCGCCAAAGCAUCUUAUACACCAAAGAAAAUUCAGCACUUUCACAGCAAGGAUUCCUCCGCCGAGAAUGCUCUGAAAUACUCGGAGAUUAGCGUCAUUAACUCGUCACCCGCAUGGCCUCAGGGUCAGAUCUCCAUAAUCAUAAGCCCUCAAUGAGGAAACUCUGAGCUAAUGAAUAACGGCCUCCGAGACUAAGCAAACUCGAUGACUCGGAUACUGUCACUGAUCGCCAUCCGUUAAAAAACCCGGGGCCGUAAAACCCCAAGCAGGCAGACUCGGUCUCAAAUAAAAACUCGCACCGAGUAUCAACAACUACACCUGUAAGACCUCAACAGGCAUGAAAAUACUGUAAGACCUCAACAACCAUGAAAAUACUGUAAGACAUGAAAAGGCAUGAAACUUUUGUAAGACCCUACUACAGGCAUAAACUCAAUCUCGAUGUUUAGGCUAUAUAUUGCAUUUGUAAGACUCCCGAAAGGGCAUACCCUCGAUAUAGACGCCUAAACUACCACACUCUAGAUCAAAAAUGGAUCUGGCCAAACACAAAUGACUACGGUCAAUACGGCUGCACCAUCCAAAUUAACGCGACUCGGGGACGCCCAACUGUCCCUAUAAAUUCACAGGCCAUUACUUCGAAUCUUUUUCGAAAAGAACCAGGUAAACAGGCUACCCUUGACAGGAAAAAGAGCUUCGACCAUGUCAGCUCCGAAUCACAAGGCUUCGAGCUACUCAACCUACGAGCUAAACCUUCCGAGGUGCUUGAGCUAUCGUCGCAAAUGACUUGAAAUCGAGGUUCAUCCCAAACCGAUGAUAGGUCAGGCAAAAUCAUUUCAAAAAGUCCUUAACGAGAGGAAAACAAAGCCUACAUAUGCCUAUGGGCAAAGCGUAAAAGCCAUUGUCGCCAACCUAACGAGCCUCAAGGCCAUACACAUUAAAAGGUUACAUCGACCAAAAGCGUAAAAGCCACUAUUGCCAGCUUAAAAAUUUGAAAGCUUGAGGGUCAAAAUGAGCUCGAGUCAUAACCCGAUUCGGAGACUGAAUCCAAAAUAGUUAACUAUACAUGCCUAAGGGCAUAGCGUAAGAGCCAUCGUCACCAGCUUCGUGAGCCUCAAGGCCAUAUACAUAAAAGGUCGCUUCGACCCAAGGCGUGACAGUCGUUGUCGCUAGCCCACAAAAAUACAGAACUUGAGGGUCGAAUGGGCUCGAGUCGAAGCCCGACUUGGAGACUAAACCCAAAACAGUUGAGCAAAAGCAUAAGAGCUCUAACGCCAGCUUACACUAAAGGCCGUAUCGACCGAAUGCGCAAGAGCCCUCGGGCCUGCCUGACGAGCCCCAGGGCCGUAUCACGAAUCUAAAGAUUCUUGCCAACUCUAAAAGCAGGAGCACCCGGCAGAAUUCUGGACAAAAAAGGGGAGUAGGAGGAACAAAGCCACAGGGCUUACUUUAUACAUAUGCCAGUAUGAAAGCACUAUAUAUACCAACAAGAAAAUCAACAGGAUCCUAAUUUAUUGCCAAGCCCACAUUCUCAAUGGCUCCCCAAGGGUUGCACCCUGAGACCUACGAGUCCCCCGACGGCCCCUUCUCAACGACAUCUUCUCUCUCCGGGGAUCUGCCCUCAUUUUUAGCACCACCCACCUCCAACGAACUGCUUUUGGGAAACCACCCAGGCACGAUCCACAGCUCGAGGUAAAUUCGGGCUAGCCCCCUCAGACGCCCUCUCAACGCAAGCAUUUGCGACAAUAGCUUCCUUCCCGUGUGAGGAUACGAGUGCCUCGGUUUCGGCUUUAAUUCGAGAUAGUGCAGCCACCAGUUCAGAAUGGAGACCUCUGUAUUUGUCACUAUCCUCCUUCGCAUCUCGUAGCUGACGCUCGACUAAGGUUACCUUCCCUUGGAGGGUGUCCCUCUCGAAAGUUAUUUCGUUUGUGCACCGACUGAGCUCGGAAAUUUCAGCAUCUCUGGCCCAAAGCUCCCCCCACAGCAGGGUGUUUUCUUUCUCAAACUGCACAAAUCGGAUCCGACAUGUUAAAAGCAAUAGAAUCUCACAAAGAUUCAGAUAAUAGUAAAUGGGGGAUGACUAACCUGCUCGGUAAGAUAGGUUUUCUCAUGCUCAUGAUGGUUCACCGCAUCCUGGUACUGGGUGAAAGCCUGGCUGUAAAACACUUUAGCCUGAAGCCACAAAAAGGGGCAAGUUAGAAAAAUAAAGAUUGGAGCAGCCCAAAGCGGCGGACGAGGUUAGCAAAAAUUACCCGCUCGCAAAGUCUUCCCAUAUCGCCGAAAAUGAAUGAAGCAUCAACCUCGGGACCUCCCUCGAGAACUGUCGGUGACCUCUCAAGUGCAUCUCUACCUUCGACUAGUGCACCUACUCCAGAAGGCUCUUCACACGGGGCAUCUUGCACUCCAUGCGGCAGUAUGGUCACUCCCUAAGGGGAAUCAACAAUGAUCACAGGGCUAACAGGGCCAGUCAAAGCCUCCGUCCCUUGUUCACCCUGGACCCCAGAGUCGGGCCCCUUCGAAUUGCCCACCAACUACGCCUCAACUCGGGGAGAAUUUUGGCCACCAACCGACUCAGGGGUAGUGCUCGGUACUCCAUCUAUUGCCUCCCCACCACAAAGAUAGCCCACAAUGUCAUCAGGAUCCGGUUCAGAAGCCUCUAUCCCCACGGCCCGAAGAUCGGCCGAAUCUAUACGCUCCCACCGUCUCUGAGGCCAGAGCUGCCAGAUCAACCUUGGGUUCUUCUGCCUUAGCCCUCUUGAACUCUGGAGGCCCGACCGGUAAACUCCCCUACCUUCUCUUCUUCUCGCCAGACACUAGGGUGUCCCCUUCAAUGGGUGAUGCCUCCUUCAUCAAAAGGACUUCCUUCAGACCUAUAAAAAUGCAGAAAAUAAACACAAAGAAUGAAGAAUGCUACUAAUAGUGAUUUGCGUCGAAGUACGCGGAUGCAACAAGGUUCGAGGCUUACCAUGAUCUUUGGCUUCCCACCGAGAUCGGGAUAAAUCUCGCCACAAUCGUUCAGCAUAUGGGCAAAUUGAGUAUAAGCAGCCGACCUAGCCCUAGAGGUCCGAAACCGCACCAGGGUAUGUUGCUAUGGCUAAAAAAUCAAGAAAAAUAGAGUUAGAUGCUUGAAGAAAUAUCACCAAAAAGGAGCGAAGAGAGACCCGACAACACGUUUACUUACGCCCAGUGUUCCCCUUCUCAGGGAACGACAUCGUUUCCGCCAGAAUCAGGUCAGAAGUCCUCAUUCGGACGAAUCGGCUAAUCCAUACUUCGUUCCCGAGCUCCUCGGCGCAGGCAAAGAGGGACCUCAGGGCUCGACGGCAAAGCUUGAUUAAGCCCCCUCGGAGGAGAUGGGGACUAUACAUCCGGAUUAGGUGGUUGAGGGUGAAGGGCAUCUCCUAUAUCAUGUUUGAGUAAGGCCUGAUCAUAUAAACAACGCUCUAGAACGAAGGAUGAAUUUGGCCUAGAGUUACCUGAUAACGUCGAUAGAAGUUGAGAAUCAUGUGGUCGAUCAGGGGCGAGGAUGGCCCCACCGGCCCCAAGGUGAAUGUAUAGGUGUAUACACUCAGAAAGCCAACUUUGUGAGCCGUAAUAUCUUCCUCCUGAGCAAGAAUCUCCACAAGUAGAGUAUCCCCCUAGCGGCAAUCAGCCCUCACUUUCCCCACAUCUGUUACCGAGCUGAUAUACCGAGUCACGGGCUCACGACGCUCUGGCUUCGAGGAAGGUCUCUCGACCUUGAAAUCGGAGGUCAUCGCAAAAGAUCUUGGGACACAUUCCUCAGCACGAGGAGGUAUAGCCAAUUUGCCUUGAGAGAGAAAUGAAGAGGAUGAGCCCGCAACCUCCUGAGAAGCAAAGGUGGAUGUUUUCGCCAUCCUUAGAAGAUUCUGAAGGAAGAAAAAGAGUUGUGUUCCUAAGAGAGAAUGAGAGCAAAGGAAGAACGAACCUUAUCAGGGGUUUGAGUACGCAAUGGGUUAUAGAAAGGGAGAAGGGAAGUAUUUAUAAAAGCACUGUGUGCGUAUUGAAGGAGGCCAAGAGGCAGCCAACUGCCAUAGUCAAUGCGGAAACCUACAGGAGCAGCAUGCAUGUUGCAUCUUGCCACCUCGUAGCCAUCGCCGAUUGCUAGAACAUCGAAGGAGGAAGAAAUUCAAGGUCGUUUCUUACCGUUUUCACUCUAUGAAACGCGAAGACUAUCUGUAUGCAGUAAAACUGGGGCCCAAUUUCCCCGUCAUUAGGUCGCCUCACGGGCAUGCUUCUCGAGGCUUGAAGCUAAGGUCGAGACCCACCAUCGGGAGUCGUCGGGUACCGGCCCUGGGGGGAAUUGCAUGUUAACGGCUAUAGUACGGGAGAGGGGAGUUCCCAAGAUAAACAAAUAACACUGGCAGAGCCUGGAAUCGCGUCUGGCCAUCUCAUCUCCAUACCAUUGUAUUUAUUGCACUCUUCUACCAUGUUUGAAUAUCCUCUUCUAUAUAAAGGGGAUCCUUAGCACUUUCUAAACUCUGUUGUUCCAAAUUUUCUACACAAGAUCAAUAACAACUCUCUCUCUUUUCUCUCUAACUUACUCGCUCUUGAAUGCCUCUUUCAUUUAUUGCUUUCAAACUUGUUCUUCAUUUAUUGCUUGAUAUUGGCCAUAAAGAGCCUUCUUUAAUUAUAUCCUAACGGUUAGCCCCUUCCUAAUUAUCCCCGAUAGCUCGAGUUCGAGCCCAGACAUCGACCUCGAGGCCCCUUAUUGGUUAGUCCGAGGCCCAGACAGCAAGCCCCUCAGUUCGAUCACAGCUCUAUUCUAGUUCGCAUUUUAUUUUUUAUCUUCAUAUAUCUAGCAUCAACUGCUGUAACAACUAGCAUAAAAAUAGAUCACGUAUUUUUAGAGUCCCAUCAACAAAUUUAAUUGUUAUUACCAUUUUCGCGGUAAACAAACCUAGUUAUUUCUAUACCCAUUUUGAUAUUUGUGAGGUACAACUCAAAACCCAAUUCAGUUUUUAAUCAUGUAAUCUUAUACUAAGCACAUGAUUUCUUUUCUUUCUCUAGAGUUGCAACUCAUCAAUGAAUAUAUAUGACCUACAGAGAUGAAGUUUUAAGUUGUCUUUCAAGUUUCAACAUUCCAGAAGAAGAUCCAUUUAAAAUCUGAACAGUGACAUCAAAUUAAGCCAAUCUAUAAGUUGAAAAUGUAUUCAACAUUUUUUCUCCAGUAUUUAAAGCUUCAAAGCUUUUACUUUCCUCUAUGCAUGCAAAUUAUACUAAAAGUAAUAAGUCAUCUAAUGUAGUCCUUAUUAAGCAUUGUAUAUCUAGAAAUUUGAAUGCGCGUAGAGGUUCAAAAGCUUCGCCUUAGUGAAGGCGUAUGACAAUUCAUGGGUACCUUGACAGAUUUACGUCGCUUUACAGUCUUUUAUCGUGCUCCUUGACUUUCAGGAUUGCAGAAUAUUUUCUUACUGCGAUGCAUUAUUUUACCUCAAUUUCCAUUGCCUUUUUCAAUAUUCCACCUUCUUUGCCAACAUCUACAUUCACAUGAAGAUAAGUUGAGUGUGAGAGAGAAAACAACGGAAGAGUUGUGUGCACGCUAUUAGUGGGGUUCGGAGAAACAAUGAUUGGACCUCAACACAUCACCUUUGUGUUUGAGGCAAUGAUUCUCCUCAGUGCAAGCUUUGCAUAGAGUUACAACCUCUUUCUAAAUCAUAUCAUACAACGAUGAGGAAACAUAAACCUCAUUCCAACUUUAUUUUCUCAGCAGCGUUCAUAUCACACUUUUUUGAUGUAAAAGAAUUAUAGUUGGGUUCAAAGAAACAAAGCAUGGACCUCAAUUGAUUCAUCUUUGAGGCUAUGAUUUUCCUUAUGGCAUUCUUUGCAUAGAACUAUAACCUCUUUCUGAAGCAUAUCAUAUAAUGCUUCGAGAACACAAUUUUCAUCUCCUCACUUUAUUUUCUCAGCAAUACUCAAAUCUCACCUCUUCAUUUCAUCAACAACAUUCUUACCUAUCAAAAGAACAAAGUCUAUUUCAACUCUUUUAAAUAAUAAAAUCAAAAAUUUCUCAAAUAAUCGAUCAUAGCAAAAUUACUUAUCACCGAAGGGAAAUUACUUUACUGGUCAUAAGCAAGAUUUCUUUGAAGUAACUUUUUAAAAUAGGUAUGCUUUACCUGCAGAUAUAGAACAUUGGGGCAGCCAAAAACUUUUAUAACCAGCGUAAUCGUCCUCCCUAGUUAGAAGCAUCCAAUAUAGACGAAAAGUCAAAAAGAAAUGAGAAGAGGAAAAAGGAAAAAUAACCAUUUAAGAUCAAGGAAAAAGAAAAAUUAAUACUAUACCCUUUUGCAAGCAGGAAUUUGGCACUUGUAAAUGAGUAAAAGUUGAUUUGAGCUUCAUUCAGGAAUCAGAAUCGUGUAGAGUUCUUGUAGUAGUAAUUACUUUUGAGGUUAAAUUUCAUUUUAAGAAAAUAAAUUUCUAUUCAUCUAAUAUUUCAAAUCAUGCACCUAGAUAUCAACUUCUAAGCAUGCAAAUCAAACCAAAAUAUGAGCUUGAAAAUCCAACAAUAAACUACCCAGGAAAACCAAAAAUCUAAUAUGUACCGAUCAAAGAUCAGAAAACAAACAAUACCCAAUAACUACAAAGAAUGUGAAAUAAAUAAAGAAAAUGUGAAAACCUAAUUUUCAGAGAUCAAAGCCUUAACUUCAUAAACAAAAAUCACCUAUGCAAGCCUAAAAGUUUAUAAAUCAAAUCACUAUCACAGACUAUCAUAGAGAAGAGAUCUGAUAUCGAAAGAGUAAAGGAGAAAAGAGGGUUUUUACCAGUAUCAACAUAAACAACAUAGAGAUCAAUACUAAAAGAGAAAAAAAGAAAAAUAGGUUGAGAAACUCACAAGAGGAGAAACACUCUUCAAAAAUAUCACAGAAAAGAGCAAGAAGUUGAUUCAAAGUGAGAGUAAUUGCUAUCCCAAGAAAGACCCCAAUUUUUUGCUUUGUAUUAGAAAAG
rnacentral:lncRNA from 1 species